GACGAACGCUGGCGGCGUGCUUAACACAUGCAAGUCGAACGGAAAGGCCUCUUUCGGGGGGUACUCGAGUGGCGAACGGGUGAGUAACACGUGAGUAACCUGCCCUUGACUUUGGGAUAACUUCAGGAAACUGGGGCUAAUACCGGAUAGGAGCUCCUGCUGCAUGGUGGGGGUUGGAAAGUUUCGGCGGUUGGGGAUGGACUCGCGGCUUAUCAGCUUGUUGGUGGGGUAGUGGCUUACCAAGGCUUUGACGGGUGGCCGGCCUGAGAGGGUGACCGGCCACAUUGGGACUGAGAUACGGCCCAGACUCCUACGGGAGGCAGCAGUGGGGAAUAUUGCACAAUGGGUGGAAGCCUGAUGCAGCAACGCCGUGUGCGGGAGGACGGCCUUCGGGUUGUAAACCGCUUUCGCUCAUGACGAAGCUUUGUGUGACGGUAGUGGGUAAAGAAGCACCGGCUAACUACGUG
rnacentral:rRNA from 1 species